UGGGAACGUGCCUUUUGGUUCGGAACAACCCAGGGAAACUUGGGCUAAUACCGGAUAAGCCCUUACGGGGAAAGAUUUAUCGCCAAAAGAUCGGCCCGCGUCUGAUUAGCUAGUUGGUGGGGUAAUGACCACCAAGGCUACGAUCAGUAGCUGGUCUGAGAGGAUGAUCAGCCACAUUGGGACUGAGACACGGCCCAAACUCCUACGGGAGGCAG
rnacentral:rRNA from 1 species